rnacentral:rRNA from 1 species
UACGAAGGGGGCUAGCGUUGUUCGGAAUUACUGGGCGUAAAGCGCACGUAGGCGGAUACUUAAGUCAGGGGUGAAAUCCCGGGGCUCAACCCCGGAACUGCCUUUGAUACUGGGUAUCUCGAGUCCGGAAGAGGUGAGUGGAAUUCCGAGUGUAGAGGUGAAAUUCGUAGAUAUUCGGAGGAACACCAGUGGCGAAGGCGGCUCACUGGUCCGGUACUGACGCCGAGGUGCGAAAGCGUGGGGAGCAAACAGG